rnacentral:rRNA from 1 species
AUUGAACGCUGGCGGCAUGCUUUACACAUGCAAGUCGAACGGCAGCGCGGGCUUCGGCCUGGCGGCGAGUGGCGAACGGGUGAGUAAUGCAUCGGAACGUGCCCAGUAGUGGGGGAUAGCCCGGCGAAAGCCGGAUUAAUACCGCAUACGACCUGAGGGUGAAAGCGGGGGACCGAAAGGCCUCGCGCUAUUGGAGCGGCCGAUGUCGGAUUAGCUAGUUGGUGGGGUAAAGGCUUACCAAGGCGACGAUCCGUAGCUGGUCUGAGAGGACGACCAGCCACACUGGAACUGAGACACGGCCCAGACUCCUACGGGAGGCAGCAGUGGGGAAUUUUGGACAAUGGGGGCAACCCUGAUCCAGCCAUGCCGCGUGCGGGAAGAAGGCCUUCGGGUUGUAAACCGCUUUUGUUCGGGAAGAAAUACUCUGGGCUAAUACCCCGGGGGGAUGACGGUACCGGAAGAAUAAGCACCGGCUAACUACGUG